CACUAUCGUUAACUGAAUACAUAGGUUAACGAGGCGAACCGGGGGAACUGAAACAUCUAAGUACCCCGAGGAAAAGAAAUCAACCGAGAUUCCCCCAGUAGCGGCGAGCGAACGGGGAGCAGCCCAGAGUCUGAAUCAGCUUGUGUGUUAGUGGAACGGUCUGGAAAGUCCGACGGUACAGGGUGAUAGUCCCGUACACCAAAAUGCACAGGCUGUGAACUCGAAGAGUAGGGCGGGACACGUGGUAUCCUGUCUGAAUAUGGGGGGACCAUCCUCCAAGGCUAAAUACUCCUGACUGACCGAUAGUGAACCAGUACCGUGAGGGAAAGGCGAAAAGAACCCCGGCGAGGGGAGUGAAAAAGAACCUGAAACCGUGUACGUACAAGCAGUGGGAGCACCUUCGGGUGUGACUGCGUACCUUUUGUAUAAUGGGUCAGCGACUUAUAUUCUGUAGCAAGGUUAACCGUAUAGGGGAGCCGCAGGGAAACCGAGUCUUAACUGGGCGUUAAGUUGCAGGGUAUAGACCCGAAACCCGGUGAUCUAGCCAUGGGCAGGUUGAAGGUUGGGUAACACUAACUGGAGGACCGAACCGACUAAUGUUGAAAAAUUAGCGGAUGACUUGUGGCUGGGGGUGAAAGGCCAAUCAAACCGGGAGAUAGCUGGUUCUCCCCGAAAGCUAUUUAGGUAGCGCCUCGUGAACUCAUCUUCGGGGGUAGAGCACUGUUUCGGCUAGGGGGUCAUCCCGACUUACCAACCCGAUGCAAACUACGAAUACCGAAGAAUGUUAUCACGGGAGACACACGGCGGGUGCUAACGUCCGUCGUGAAGAGGGAAACAACCCAGACCGCCAGCUAAGGUCCCAAAGUCAUGGUUAAGUGGGAAACGAUGUGGGAAGGCACAGACAGCCAGGAUGUUGGCUUAGAAGCAGCCAUCAUUUAAAGAAAGCGUAAUAGCUCACUGGUCGAGUCGGCCUGCGCGGAAGAUGUAACGGGGCUAAACCAUGCACCGAAGCUGCGGCAGCGACACUAUGUGUUGUUGGGUAGGGGAGCGUUCUGUAAGCCUGCGAAGGUGUGCUGUGAGGCAUGCUGGAGGUAUCAGAAGUGCGAAUGCUGACAUAAGUAACGAUAAAGCGGGUGAAAAGCCCGCUCGCCGGAAGACCAAGGGUUCCUGUCCAACGUUAAUCGGGGCAGGGUGAGUCGACCCCUAAGGCGAGGCCGAAAGGCGUAGUCGAUGGGAAACAGGUUAAUAUUCCUGUACUUGGUGUUACUGCGAAGGGGGGACGGAGAAGGCUAUGUUAGCCGGGCGACGGUUGUCCCGGUUUAAGCAUGUAGGCUGGUUGUCCAGGCAAAUCCGGAUAAUCAAGGCUGAGGUGUGAUGACGAGGCACUACGGUGCUGAAGUAACAAAUGCCCUGCUUCCAGGAAAAGCCUCUAAGCAUCAGGUAACAUCAAAUCGUACCCCAAACCGACACAGGUGGUCAGGUAGAGAAUACCAAGGCGCUUGAGAGAACUCGGGUGAAGGAACUAGGCAAAAUGGUGCCGUAACUUCGGGAGAAGGCACGCUGGUGUGUAGGUGAAGCCCCUGCGGGUGGAGCUGAGACCAGUCGAAGAUACCAGCUGGCUGCAACUGUUUAUUAAAAACACAGCACUGUGCAAACACGAAAGUGGACGUAUACGGUGUGACGCCUGCCCGGUGCCGGAAGGUUAAUUGAUGGGGUUAUCCGUAAGGAGAAGCUCUUGAUCGAAGCCCCGGUAAACGGCGGCCGUAACUAUAACGGUCCUAAGGUAGCGAAAUUCCUUGUCGGGUAAGUUCCGACCUGCACGAAUGGCGUAAUGAUGGCCAGGCUGUCUCCACCCGAGACUCAGUGAAAUUGAACUCGCUGUGAAGAUGCAGUGUACCCGCGGCAAGACGGAAAGACCCCGUGAACCUUUACUAUAGCUUGACACUGAACAUUGAGCCUUGAUGUGUAGGAUAGGUGGGAGGCUUUGAAGCGUGGACGCCAGUCUGCGUGGAGCCAACCUUGAAAUACCACCCUUUAAUGUUUGAUGUUCUAACGUUGGCCCCUUACCGGGGUUGCGGACAGUGUCUGGUGGGUAGUUUGACUGGGGCGGUCUCCUCCCAAAGCGUAACGGAGGAGCACGAAGGUUAGCUAAUCCUGGUCGGACAUCAGGAGGUUAGUGCAAUGGCAUAAGCUAGCUUGACUGCGAGCGUGACGGCGCGAGCAGGUGCGAAAGCAGGUCAUAGUGAUCCGGUGGUUCUGAAUGGAAGGGCCAUCGCUCAACGGAUAAAAGGUACUCCGGGGAUAACAGGCUGAUACCGCCCAAGAGUUCAUAUCGACGGCGGUGUUUGGCACCUCGAUGUCGGCUCAUCACAUCCUGGGGCUGAAGUAGGUCCCAAGGGUAUGGCUGUUCGCCAUUUAAAGUGGUACGCGAGCUGGGUUUAGAACGUCGUGAGACAGUUCGGUCCCUAUCUGCCGUGGGCGCUGGAGAAUUGAGGGGGGCUGCUCCUAGUACGAGAGGACCGGAGUGGACGCAUCACUGGUGUUCGGGUUGUCAUGCCAAUGGCACUGCCCGGUAGCUAAAUGCGGAAGAGAUAAGUGCUGAAAGCAUCUAAGCACGAAACUUGCCCCGAGAUGAGUUCUCCCUGAGACUUUAAGUCUCCUGAAGGAACGUUGAAGACGACGACGUUGAUAGGCCGGGUGUGUAAGCGCAGCGAUGCGUUGAGCUAACCGGUACUAAUGAACCGUGAGGCUUAACCUU
rnacentral:rRNA from 1 species